rnacentral:rRNA from 1 species
GGGUUGUGAGGUUAAGCGACUAAGCGUACACGGUGGAUGCCCUGGCAGUCAGAGGCGAUGAAGGACGUGCUAAUCUGCGAUAAGCGUCGGUAAGGUGAUAUGAACCGUUAUAACCGGCGAUUUCCGAAUGGGGAAACCCAGUGUGAUUCGUCACACUAUCAUUAACUGAAUCCAUAGGUUAAUGAGGCGAACCGGGGGAACUGAAACAUCUAAGUACCCCGAGGAAAAGAAAUCAACCGAGAUUCCCCCAGUAGCGGCGAGCGAACGGGGAGGAGCCCAGAGCCUGAAUCAGUGUGUGUGUUAGUGGAAGCGUCUGGAAAGGCGCGCGAUACAGGGUGACAGCCCCGUACACAAAAAUGCACAUGCUGUGAGCUCGAUGAGUAGGGCGGGACACGUGGUAUCCUGUCUGAAUAUGGGGGGACCAUCCUCCAAGGCUAAAUACUCCUGACUGACCGAUAGUGAACCAGUACCGUGAGGGAAAGGCGAAAAGAACCCCGGCGAGGGGAGUGAAAAAGAACCUGAAACCGUGUACGUACAAGCAGUGGGAGCCUCUUUAUGGGGUGACUGCGUACCUUUUGUAUAAUGGGUCAGCGACUUAUAUUCUGUAGCAAGGUUAACCGAAUAGGGGAGCCGAAGGGAAACCGAGUCUUAACUGGGCGUUAAGUUGCAGGGUAUAGACCCGAAACCCGGUGAUCUAGCCAUGGGCAGGUUGAAGGUUGGGUAACACUAACUGGAGGACCGAACCGACUAAUGUUGAAAAAUUAGCGGAUGACUUGUGGCUGGGGGUGAAAGGCCAAUCAAACCGGGAGAUAGCUGGUUCUCCCCGAAAGCUAUUUAGGUAGCGCCUCGUGAAUUCAUCUCCGGGGGUAGAGCACUGUUUCGGCAAGGGGGUCAUCCCGACUUACCAACCCGAUGCAAACUGCGAAUACCGGAGAAUGUUAUCACGGGAGACACACGGCGGGUGCUAACGUCCGUCGUGAAGAGGGAAACAACCCAGACCGCCAGCUAAGGUCCCAAAGUCAUGGUUAAGUGGGAAACGAUGUGGGAAGGCCCAGACAGCCAGGAUGUUGGCUUAGAAGCAGCCAUCAUUUAAAGAAAGCGUAAUAGCUCACUGGUCGAGUCGGCCUGCGCGGAAGAUGUAACGGGGCUAAACCAUGCACCGAAGCUGCGGCAGCGACGCUUAUGCGUUGUUGGGUAGGGGAGCGUUCUGUAAGCCUGUGAAGGUGUGCUGUGAGGCAUGCUGGAGGUAUCAGAAGUGCGAAUGCUGACAUAAGUAACGAUAAAGCGGGUGAAAAGCCCGCUCGCCGGAAGACCAAGGGUUCCUGUCCAACGUUAAUCGGGGCAGGGUGAGUCGACCCCUAAGGCGAGGCCGAAAGGCGUAGUCGAUGGGAAACAGGUUAAUAUUCCUGUACUUGGUGUUACUGCGAAGGGGGGACGGAGAAGGCUAUGUUGGCCGGGCGACGGUUGUCCCGGUUUAAGCGUGUAGGCUGGUUUUCCAGGCAAAUCCGGAAAAUCAAGGCUGAGGCGUGAUGACGAGGCACUACGGUGCUGAAGCAACAAAUGCCCUGCUUCCAGGAAAAGCCUCUAAGCAUCAGGUAACAUCAAAUCGUACCCCAAACCGACACAGGUGGUCAGGUAGAGAAUACCAAGGCGCUUGAGAGAACUCGGGUGAAGGAACUAGGCAAAAUGGUGCCGUAACUUCGGGAGAAGGCACGCUGAUAUGUAGGUGAAGUCCCUCGCGGAUGGAGCUGAAAUCAGUCGAAGAUACCAGCUGGCUGCAACUGUUUAUUAAAAACACAGCACUGUGCAAACACGAAAGUGGACGUAUACGGUGUGACGCCUGCCCGGUGCCGGAAGGUUAAUUGAUGGGGUCAGCGCAAGCGAAGCUCUUGAUCGAAGCCCCGGUAAACGGCGGCCGUAACUAUAACGGUCCUAAGGUAGCGAAAUUCCUUGUCGGGUAAGUUCCGACCUGCACGAAUGGCGUAAUGAUGGCCAGGCUGUCUCCACCCGAGACUCAGUGAAAUUGAACUCGCUGUGAAGAUGCAGUGUACCCGCGGCAAGACGGAAAGACCCCGUGAACCUUUACUAUAGCUUGACACUGAACAUUGAGCCUUGAUGUGUAGGAUAGGUGGGAGGCUUAGAAGUGUGGACGCCAGUCUGCAUGGAGCCGACCUUGAAAUACCACCCUUUAAUGUUUGAUGUUCUAACGUUGACCCGUAAUCCGGGUUGCGGACAGUGUCUGGUGGGUAGUUUGACUGGGCGGUCUCCUCCUAAAGAGUAACGGAGGAGCACGAAGGUUGGCUAAUCCUGGUCGGACAUCAGGAGGUUAGUGCAAUGGCAUAAGCCAGCUUGACUGCGAGCGUGACGGCGCGAGCAGGUGCGAAAGCAGGUCAUAGUGAUCCGGUGGUUCUGAAUGGAAGGGCCAUCGCUCAACGGAUAAAAGGUACUCCGGGGAUAACAGGCUGAUACCGCCCAAGAGUUCAUAUCGACGGCGGUGUUUGGCACCUCGAUGUCGGCUCAUCACAUCCUGGGGCUGAAGUAGGUCCCAAGGGUAUGGCUGUUCGCCAUUUAAAGUGGUACGCGAGCUGGGUUUAGAACGUCGUGAGACAGUUCGGUCCCUAUCUGCCGUGGGCGCUGGAGAACUGAGGGGGGCUGCUCCUAGUACGAGAGGACCGGAGUGGACGCAUCACUGGUGUUCGGGUUGUCAUGCCAAUGGCACUGCCCGGUAGCUAAAUGCGGAAGAGAUAAGUGCUGAAAGCAUCUAAGCACGAAACUUGCCCCGAGAUGAGUUCUCCCUGACCCUUUAAGGGUCCUGAAGGAACGUUGAAGACGACGACGUUGAUAGGCCGGGUGUGUAAGCGCAGCGAUGCGUUGAGCUAACCGGUACUAAUGAACCGUGAGGCUUAACCUUACAACGCCGAAGCUGUU